AUGCACCAGUUUCUUCCGGGAACACGUUGGUGUGCAGUCUCACAGGCCUCCAGGACAGUAUUGGGGGGGAGUUAUUUCAACUGCAAAACCAGGAUAAAAGUCAAAUUUCACCUGGGAGUGAGCUGAGCUGAGCUGAGAGUUCCUGACUUCACUUUCUGUUGUUCUACAAGCUGAGUCGUGGAAAUCCUGGCCAGGUCUGCUCUGGUCUGAGGCGGUUUUUACCCUUGCCUUGUGUCUUCUCCAACGCAUAGCAAAAAGUAUCUUACCAUGGAAGAGUUGCAGAAUGUAAAUGUUAUGUCGCCCACCAGAGGGCACUUUCUCAGCAAGGCCCUGGGUUUGCCGUCUGUUCCAAUGGCGUGUACCUACAUUGGAAUGAUCCUCUUUUCCACCUACUGGCAGAAAUUCACAAAACCUCUGGAGUUGAAGAAGCAUUUCAGUGGUUGUGUGAUUUGACAUCUCAAGCAAGUAUACACAGCAAACUUAGAUAAGUAUCCAUUUGUAAUGAACUUUGCUUUCAGAACAGGAAAGCUCUUCUUGCAAUGUGGAAAAAAAAAACAGGCAAACGAUUUAGCAAUACCCUGUAACAACUCCAUAGCAGAAAAGCUUCCUUGUAAAGUGUGUGGUUGGGCAUUGAGAUGUGUUUUUUUGCCAUUCGUAUGGCAUUAUGAUCUGCUGAGAAUUUAUUGAAGCAUUUGCUGUACAUCUAUCAUCUCGCAAGUCUGUAGCUCGGGACUCGAUUUCGAAAACCUAUAUCCUGCCUCUUAAGGUGGAAGAUACCUGCUCGUCUCUGAGAAAAAUAGUCCAAAAAGCUUCCAACUCAUAUUGAAGGAAGCUAGAUAAUAGGGAAGUGAAGUUCUUAAACACAUUCACAUUUAGUCCUUUAACAAGGAAUAAUUAGAAUUAUUAAUGAAAUAAAUUGCUUUGAAUUUCUAAUUCUGUAAUAGGGAUUCCAUUUUUAAUAAGGUUACGUUGAAUGUAACUUACUGGCUACAGAAGAACCUUACCUUACAUAAAUCUAGCAACAUGGCUAUCUCACCAGUCAGGCCACAUUUUUCAGUCUGUCUUUUCAUUUGAACUUGCUAGGUGAAAAAGACCAAGGUCCACCCAGAUCACCUUCCCCCAUACUGGCAGUCGUUUGACAUGCUGUGUCCCAAAGUGUAUAUUGUAUCCAGGGAUAAUAGUUUCUAAUAGAAAUCUAUCUAAUUUGUUCUUGAAACAAACAACACUUUCCGCUGCCA